rnacentral:misc_RNA from 1 species
UUGGUGUUUANUUGCAUGUCAGAUCCUGUUUCGGCAGCGAAGGCAUGUCAUACACACCUUUUCAAUUGUUGGGUCAAGUGCGGCUUUGGCUUGGUCUUGCUCGGUUUCUUGUGCUGCAUACCUCUACGAAGGUAAUUGGUCGGUCUAAGCGGUCCACAAUUCUUACAUGCCCCUNAAACCUUUUUUGGUUGUGGUGUGUGUCAGACCACAAAGCAUGCAUAGUGUUCCACUUCCCUAGUAUCGUGNUGGUGCUUUGGGUUGUUGGCACAUUAUGAUUUGCUUGAUCUCUCGGAUACGGAAAAUUGAGUGGGUACAAAGCAGGCACUUGCUUGUUUCUAUUUGCCCCGAACGAUGCUCCUUGCGUACGACUGUUGUUCUCGUUUUGGUUGGGUCCUUUGUGGCUUGAGUCAUCCGUUAACAACGUCGUUGAGGAA